rnacentral:rRNA from 1 species
CGGGGUGCACCAGGCGCGAAAACUUUACAAUGCUGGCAACAGCGAUAAGGGGACCUCGAGUGCCAGGAUACAAUCUUGGCUGUCGCGAUGCCUAAAAAGCAUUGCAUAGCAAGGGCCGGGCAAGACCGGUGCCAGCCGCCGCGGUAACACCGGCGGCUCGAGUGGUAACCGCUAUUAUUGGGUCUAAAGGGUCUGUAGCCGGCCGGAUAAGUCUUUUGGGAAAUCCAGCUGCUCAACAGUUGGGCUUUCAGAAGAUACUGUUCGGCUCGAGACCGGGAGAGGUGAGAGGUACUUCAGGGGUAGGGGUGAAAUCUUGUAAUCCUUGAAGGACCACCAGUGGCGAAGGCGUCUCACCAGAACGGAUCUGACGGCAAGGGACGAAAGCUAGGGGCACGAACCGGAUUAGAUACCCGGGUAGUCCUAGCCGUAAACGAUACUCGCUAGGUGUCAGCCACGGUGCGACCGUGGUUGGUGCCGUAGGGAAGCCGUGAAGCGAGCCACCUGGGAAGUACGGCCGCAAGGCUGAAACUUAAAGGAAUUGGC